GAGACCUCAGUCAGGCGGGGCUACCCGCUGAGUUUAAGCAUAUCAAUAAGCGGAGGAAAAG
rnacentral:rRNA from 1 species